UACAAUAAACUUAAUUAGAUAGGUAACAAAACAAAUGGGAUUAAAACAUGUAUUGUAAUGCAACUUGUAUAUAUAAUGUAUUCAUGCACCUUGCAGUAAAGUUCAUUUUGAACUAAUUAAAAAUUUAUUGAAAUAAUUAUCAUUACUUUUUCUCCUAGAGUAACACCAAAAAGAACAUCACUAUCAGUAGUUGCAUAGAUAAUAUUGCAAUUUUUUCCACCUGGCUAUUAAGGGGUGAUAAAUUAAUCUACUGCAGUGUACAUGUUGCUUGUCUCACAACAGGAGAUUACCACAGACUGAUAAGAUCUUGUCUGCUUUAUAUUUAGAAUCUCUACCAAGAGGUCAGCCAAUGAAAAUAAAGUCAGUGAACUACUUCUGGGGGCUGUGCAUGUACCACAAAAAGUAAUCCUUAACUUUUGGGGGUUUUUUAUCAGAGUAACCUUUAAAAUUUAUGUGUAUCUAAAUGGAAUAAAAUCUUACUCUAGUACAGAAAUAGUUUCAACAUCCUAGAUGUAUCCUUCAUUAGCUGACUGUAAAUGACACAUUUGCCCAAGAAUAUCAAAAUUUCAAAUCUAAACAGGAAGUUCUUUGAGAGCAGGAUGGAGUUAUUUCACUACAAAGAAGUUUAUUGAUAUAGCUCUUUGUUUACUAUGUGCAGUUUAUAUUUAACAUGGAAGUUUAAGAGUAAUGAAAAGAAUACAAAUGGUAUUCCCGUAUAGCACCAUAUGUGUAUAUUAAGUAUGGCACACAUGAAUGAAUUGGGACCUUCGUUAUCAACGCAUUGUGUUCAAAGAAGACUUAAUGAAUCCAGCAGUUCAAAAACAUGUUUUGCAGUGAGACGAAUGGUGGCAAAUGAUGGCUUUGUGGCAGUUAGUGAAAAACUGUGGCAUUUUACACUGAUGGUGGCUAACAUUUACAGAAAAUUUCUCAACCAAUAGUGACAUUCAGUUGAAAGUAGUAGCAUAUCUUACACUGACUAUACAUCAGAAGAUUGUUGAAAAA